rnacentral:rRNA from 1 species
UACGAAGGGAGCUAGCGUUGUUCGGAAUCACUGGGCGUAAAGCGCACGUAGGCGGAUGUGUCAGUCAGGGGUGAAAUCCCGGAGCUCAACUCCAGAACUGCCUUUGAUACUGAAGAUCUUGAGUUCGGGAGAGGUGAGUGGAACUGCGAGUGUAGAGGUGAAAUUCGUAGAUAUUCGCAAGAACACCAGUGGCGAAGGCGGCUCACUGGCCCGGUACUGACGCUGAGGUGCGAAAGCGUGGGGAGCAAACAGG